UACGUAGGCAGCGAGCGUUGUUCGGAAUUACUGGGCGUAAAGAGUGUGUAGGCGGUGCUCCAAGUCUGUUGUGAAAUCUCCCGGCUUAACUGGGAGGGUGCGGCGGAAACUAGAGUGCUAGAGGGUGGGAGAGGUAAGCGGAAUUCCUGGUGUAGCGGUGAAAUGCGUGAGAUAUCAGGAGGAACACCUGUGGUGUAGACAGCUUACUGGACCACUUCUGACGCUGAGACACGAAAGCGUGGGUAGCAAACAGG
rnacentral:rRNA from 1 species